CUCUCUCUCUCUCUCCCUCCCUCUUCCGCCCUCUCUUCUUUCUUUUUGCUGAGCUCUAAUUUAAACUCUUCUUAACCAUAAUUUCCCUCCUUUUAAAUGUUGAUCCUAGAUCUUAUCAAUUGCUUAAAAUUUGUCCACCAUAAAAUUUUUGGUAUUCUAGUUUCUGCUUGCAAAUUGGUACUUCUAGAAGUAAACUUGUUUUUAAUUUUUUCUAGUGCCUUUUUCUUUCUCCUAUCUCAGAAAUGUAUAACAAUGUUGGAGU
rnacentral:misc_RNA from 1 species